rnacentral:lncRNA from 1 species
GGGUUGGUUCGUUGGAUUAACCCAUUGGGUCAUUUAAUAUCUAUUACUUUGACUUGUAAUGAUGAUAUAGUAUGACAGUUGACCAAGAUAUCUGCCAUGCAUUAAUAUGGAUGAGAUUAUAGCCGGCCGGCGGUGCAAACAGUGGCCAAGAGCAGUGGAUAAACUCCAUGUAGUCGGUCGAACCCAUCAGAUCAGGGGGAUAUGUCAGGUGAUAGUGGGUGGCACGGUAAUCCAGGCAAAGAUAUUAUUUCUUAGUGAGUAAGUCUUCAUAAGGAGGUACGUUUUAUUCAUAUAUACACAUUCACACAACAGAUAGAAAAGAAUCACUCUCAAUACGCUAAAUUCUAUUAUCCUCUUGAGUUAACUUUGUGAACAGACAUACUUACUCUCACGCCUGAGCUAUCCCC